rnacentral:rRNA from 1 species
UACGGGGGGGCAAGCGUUGUUCGGAAUCACUGGGCGUAAAGCGCACGUAGGCGGACUCUUAAGUCGGUGGUGAAAUCCUGGAGCUCAACUCCAGAACUGCCUUCGAUACUGAGAGUCUCGAGUCCGAGAGAGGUGAGUGGAACUGCGAGUGUAGAGGUGAAAUUCGUAGAUAUUCGCAAGAACACCAGUGGCGAAGGCGGCUCACUGGCUCGGUACUGACGCUGAGGUGCGAAAGCGUGGGGAGCAAACAGG